rnacentral:rRNA from 1 species
CCAAUAGCGUAUAUUAAAGUUGCUGCAGUUAAAAAGCUCGUCGUUGAAUUUCGGGACUAAUAUGUCGGUCGUGCCUCGGUACGUACUGGUAUUUUUGGUUUCUCCCUUCUGACGAACCAUGAUGUCAUUAAUUUGGUGCCUUUGGAAAUCAGGACUGUUACUUUGAAAAAAUUAGAGUGUUUAAAGCAGGCUCACGCUUGAAUACAUUAGCAUGGAAUAAUGAAAUAGUACGUUUGAUUCUAUUUUGUUGGUUUCUAGGAUCGACGUAAUGAUUAAUAGGGAUAGUUGGGGGCAUUAGUAUUCAAUUGUCAGAGGUGAAAUUCUUGGAUUUAUUGAAGACUAACUACUGCGAAAGCAUUUGCCAAGGAUGUUUUCAUUAAUCAAGAACGAAAGUUAGGGGAUCGAAGACGAUCAGAUACCGGCGUAGUCUUAACCAUAAACUAUGCCGACUAGGGAUCGGAUGAUGUUAAUUUUUUAAUGACUCAUUCGGCGCCUUACG